AUUGAACGCUGGCGGCAGGCUUAACACAUGCAAGUCGAGCGAGCGGCGGUUGGGUGCGUAAUGUUUGGGAAACUGUCUGCUGGCUGGGGAUUACUACUGACCACUGUAUCUAAUAUCGCAUACUACCAUAUGUGCCCUGAUGGGAUUAGCUUGUUGGUGGGGUAAUGGCUCACCUAGGCGACGAUCCCUAGCCGGUCUGAGAGGAUGACCGGCAACACUGGAACUGAGAAACGGUCCAGACUCCUACGGGAGGCAGCAGAGGGGAAUAUUGCACAAUGGGCGAAAGCCUGAUGCAGCAAUGCCGCGUGGGUGAAGAAGGCCUUCGGGUUGUAAAGCACGUUCAGCGAGGAGGCGGUACUCGCAGAAGAAGCAACGGCUAACUCCGUGCCAGCAGCCGCGGUAAUUC
rnacentral:rRNA from 1 species